rnacentral:rRNA from 1 species
UACGUAGGGGGCAAGCGUUGUCCGGAUUUAUUGGGCGUAAAGAGCGUGUAGGCGGCCAUGCAGGUCCGUUGUGAAAACUCGAGGCUCAACCUCGAGACGCCGGUGGAAACCGUGUGGCUAAAGUCCGGAAGAGGAGAGUGGAAUUCCUGGUGUAGCGGUGAAAUGCGCAGAUAUCAGGAAGAACACCCGUGGCGAAGGCGGCUCUCUGGGACGUGACUGACGCUGAGACGCGAAAGCGUGGGGAGCAAACAGG